AUUGAACGCUGGCGGCAGGCUUAACACAUGCAAGUCGAACGAGUGGCGGACGGGUGCGUAAUGCUUGGGAAUCUAGCUUGUGGAGGGGGAUAACUACGGGAAACUGUAGCUAAUACCGCGUCCCAUAGGCUGAGCCCACGUGGGAUUUGGUAGUUGGUGAGGAAACGGCUCACCAAGCCGACGAUCUCUAGCUGGUCUGAGAGGAUGACCAGCCACACUGGGACUGAGACACGGCCCAGACGCCUACGGGAGGCAGCAGUGGGGAAUAGUGCGCAAGUGAGGCAACCUGACGCAGCCAUGCCGCGUGAAUGAAGAAGGCCGUCGGGUUGUAAAGUUCGUUCGGUAGCGAGGCGUUAACUACAGAAGAAGCACCGGCUAACUCCGUGCCAGCCGACGCGGUAAUUC
rnacentral:rRNA from 1 species